CCCGGUCAGGCGGGACUACCCGCUGAGUUUAA
rnacentral:rRNA from 1 species